AGGAUAGUGCCAUAUAAGUAGAACAGUUUUGUUACGCUGGCUAGUGGGUGCAUGGGAAUUGUUGAGAACUGCACUGGGAACUUCGGCAUGUACAUUCUUAUGGGCUUUUUUAUGUGUAUUAUUACCAAUCUUCCUUUUUAGUGAUGUGAGAUCUGUAUCUAUUGGGAACGUAUGUUCCCAUGACUGGGACAGAUAUGAAUACAAAGAUCUAUCAUUCGUAUUACUAGUUAUUUCCAUGGCACAAUUCCCU